rnacentral:rRNA from 1 species
AAAGCCAGUUCAUGCUUUUACAGUAUGAAAAUUGGUGAUUUAUAAUAACUUAGCAAAUCGCAAAGUGAAAACAGGCGAUAAAUCAUUCAAGUUUCUGACCUAUCAGCUUUCGACGGUAUGGUAUUGGCUUACCGUGGCAGUGACGGUUAACGGGGGAUUAGGGUUCGAUUCCGGAGAGGGAGCCUGAGAAACGGCUACCACAUCUAAGGAAGGCAGCAGGCGCGCAAAUUACCCAAUUCUAACAGUUUGAGAGAGGUAGUAACAAGAAAUAACAAUACAAGGCAGUUAAAAUGCUUUGUAAUUGGAAUGAUAGAAAUUUAAACCCUUUUUAAAGUAUCAAUUGGAGGGCAAGUCUGGUGCCAGCAGCCGCGGUAAUUCCAGCUCCAAUAGCGUAUAUUAAAAUUGUUGCAGUUAAAAAGCUCGUAGUUGAAGUUCUGCUGAAAGUAACCGGUCUGCUUUUAAUAAAAGUGGUAUCUUGGUAUGUAUUUAGCAAUGAUGUCCUUUGAAGUGUUUUUUACUUUAUUGUAAUAAAGCAUAUUCAGGACUUUUACUUUGAGAAAAUUAGAGUGU